rnacentral:lncRNA from 1 species
AUGCAUUGGUGGGUGGGCUGCGCUACGCACUUUUUGACUUUUCGUUGAGGAAAAUGCGUUUUCAUGCACUGGUUGGCUGUCGAGUGGCAGGGCUGGGCGUGUGAUUGGGUUUGGUUUUCAGUUGUGUGGCUUUUGGGUUUGGGUCUAUGCUUCUAUCUCUCUAUAUGCCUCUGUGCCUCUCUUUUCGUUUGCCAUUACAUACCCGUGUGUGUGUGUGUGGGUGAGUGGGAAUGUAUUUUCCCAGGCCUUGUCAUUU